rnacentral:rRNA from 1 species
UACGUAGGGUGCGAGCGUUAAUCGGAAUUACUGGGCGUAAAGCGUGCGCAGGCGGUCUUGCAAGACAGAGGUGAAAUCCCCGGGCUCAACCUGGGAACUGCCUUUGUGACUGCAAGGCUAGAGUACGGCAGAGGGGGAUGGAAUUCCGCGUGUAGCAGUGAAAUGCGUAGAUAUGCGGAGGAACACCGAUGGCGAAGGCAAUCCCCUGGGCCUGUACUGACGCUCAUGCACGAAAGCGUGGGGAGCAAACAGG